rnacentral:rRNA from 1 species
AUUGAACGCUGGCGGCAGGCCUAACACAUGCAAGUCGAACGGUAACAGGAAGAAGCUUGCUUCUUUGCUGACGGGUGGCGGACGGGUGAGUAAUGUCUGGGAAACUGCCUGAUGGAGGAUGAUAACUACUGGAAACGGUAGCUAAUACCGCAUAACGUCUCAAGACCAAAGGGGGUGGGCUUCUGGCCUCGUGCCAUCGGAUGUGCCCAGAUGGUAUGCGCUAGUAGGUGGGGUAACGUCUCACCUAGUCGACGAUCCCUAGCUGGUGUGAGAGGAUGAACAGCCACUCUGGAAGUGAGACGCGACCCAGACUCCUACGGGAGGCAGAAGUGGGGAAUAUUGGACAAUGGGCGGAAGCUUGCUGAAGCGACGCAGGGUGGAUGCAGCAGGGCCGCGGGUGGUAAAAUGGUUUCCGGGGGGAGGAAGGGAGUAAACUUAAUACAUUUGCUCAUUGACGUAACCGGUAGAGGAAGCACCGGCUAACACGGU